rnacentral:rRNA from 1 species
UACGAAGGGGGCUAGCGUUGUUUCGGAAUUACUGGGCGUAAAGGGCGCGUAGGCGGCGUGUCAAGUCAGGCGUGAAAGCCCCGGGCUCAACCUGGGAACCGCGCUUGAGACUGGCAUGCUCGAGUUCAGGAGAGGAUGGUGGAAUUCCCAAGUGUAGAGGUGAAAUGCGUAGAUAUCGUGGAGGAACACCGGUGGCGAAGGCGGCAUCCUGGACCGGUAUUGACGGCUGAGGAGGCGAAAAGCCAGGGG